GUGGAACGGAUGUGGGUGGGGCUAGGUCUACAUAACGGUGCAAUUUUUCUUUCUUUAAAUCAAGAAAUUCACAAAUGCUCUGACGAAGGCAGUGAGACUGAUACGUAAAUUUAUUAAACAUCAGUGAUUCUAUCAAGAGCUGUGAGGGAACUAUGUACGCAACCGGAUAGAAGUCACGCAGUAAUCCUUUAUAUGAUUUUGUGGCUGUGGGAAUUAUUAUUGUCUGAGCUAGAAUCAAAUAAUGUAGCGAACUAUGUAAGCAACCGGAAAGAGUAAUCCUUUGUAUGACUUUGUGGCUGUGACGACUACCAUAUUUGGCUCGCUGACAAACAAACGCCAGUACUUGAACUGCGUAGCAGCAUAUCAGAGUAAUCCACGCAGAAAUGGAACCGAAAUCACAGAAAAUAUAGUAGACGUUGUGGUGGCAGCUGUAGAGAGGUAUUUGGGUAUACGAGAUUUGUGUUCAGAGGAGUUACAGGGUGUGUUGAGUGGUGGUGACCCAUGCUAAAAUUAUUCCAAUUGUAGCCUGUUUCCUUGCGUCGGCUAACGUUGCUUGGUUGUACAUCCUCAAUUCUGGAACUGCAAAUGUAACGUUAUUAUUCUUGUAUGGGUUAGAAUGAAAUGUCCGCAACAGGAAGAGAGUCAUGCAGUAACCCUUUUAGCCACAACUUCCUAAGAAAAGCUGUGGCCUACAUGUGAUGUACAGCUGUUUACAGUUUUUUCAAUUGCUUACACACUAAAGUGGUACUUGAGGCACACUCAGUGAAACCAAGUCAUGUGCCUAAUCUUCAGACCAAGUCUGCAAAACUUCAAGCACUUUAUCUGCUUUACAUUCAGUUUGCAAUUGUAAAGCACUAAAGAUACGGGCUGUUUUGGUUGAGUUUCAGGGAGGCUGGGCAGAGGGUCCAGCCUAACUUGAGCCGCUACACUGCAGCAAGUGUCCUUCAGAGAACAGAAUUGCUAGACAACCCUUCAAUGGCGGAAGAAACUGGCUGUUCACUGCAGAGCAGGACCAACACAGUGAAUAUGGUCAUUUUAAACAACCGCAUACGUUAAUGACAACUGCAACCCCACAUCAUCACUGACAACACAACAUUCAGUAACAUAAAUAGUGUGAGUUUAUCCGCACUUGGCCGUCUCCUGAAACGCCACCAGAUUCGUAUGAAGCAGCUCUACAGAGUACCAUUUGAACGAAAUUCUGACAGUGUGAAACAACUGCGCUAUGAGUAUGUACAAGUAAGCUAUACUAUCCUGUCAUUGGUACUAUAUUCCAGUGUAUUGUGCUACAUAUUGACUGCUCUAUGUCUAUUCAUACUGUCAUGCAAUAAUGUCUUGUCUGUUUCUGUCACGGUGAUCUUCAUCUGAAGAGGAGAGGCGAGAAGGAUCGGAGGACCAAAAUGCGGCGUGGUAGGUGUUCAUCAUUAAUUUUAAUAAAGAAAACACUGAACACUGAAACACUAUACAAAAACAAUAGACGAAAUAACAACCGUGACGCUAAUGCGAACUGUGCUGAAACAAGCAAUCAACAUAGACAAUCACCCACAAACAAACAGUGAAACCCAGGCUACCUAAGUAUGAUUCAACACCUGCCUCUGAUUGAGAACCAUACUAGGCCGAAACAUAGAAAUCCCCAAAUCAUAGAAAAUCAAACAUAGACUGCCCACCCCAACUCACGCCCUGACCAUACUAAAUAAUGAAUACAAAACAAAGGAAAUAAAGGUCAGAACGUGACAGUUUCAGAGUUAUGGAACUAGAUGCUGUUGCAGAGCAUCAUGAUUUCGUCUACGUUGAUGAGGGCGGCUUUAACAUAGCCAAAACAAGAUGCAGGGGAAGAAACCUCAUAGGACACCGCGCCAUCGUCAAUGUCCCUGGACAGUGUGGUGGCAACAUCAGAAUGGGUGCAGCCAUUAGUCAGAACGGUGUCCUUCAUCAUCAUGCCACUCUUGGUCCUGCCCACAUUAUCACCUUCCUUGACACCCUGCAUAAUAUCCUCAUUCCCAAUGACCAGAGGAAUGGGCCAGAGCAGUCCAGGUUUGUUGCCAUCUGGGCAACGUAAGUUUCCACCGUGCUGCUCUAGUCUGCAAUUGGUUCAUUGACCAUCCGCAAGUUUUGAUGCUCAACCUGCCACCAUAUUCUUCAUUUCUAAACCCAAUUGAAGAGUUAUUUUCGGCAUGGUGUUGGGAGGUAUAUAAUCGCAUAUCCCUUCUCCAGGUGAUGGAGGAGGCCUGUGGUGACAUGAGGGAGCAUGCCAGGGCUGGAUACACCACUUCAGAUGCUACUUUCCCCACUGUUUAGCCAGAGAGAACAGCUCUUGUGAUGUUGAGGAGGUGCUGUGGCCAGACUCAAAUAGGAGACAGGAUGCACCCAAACUGUUUUUUUCUUUAUAAACUCAGCAAAAAAGGAAACGUCCUCUCACUGUCAACUGCGUUUAAUUUCAACAAACUUAACAUGUGUAAAUGUUUGCAUGAACAUAAGAUUCAACAACUGAGACAUAAACUGAACAAGUUCCACAGACAUGUGACUAACAGAAAUUGAAUAAUGUGUCCCUGAACAAAGGGGGGUUCAAAAUCAAAAGUAACAGUUAGUAUCUGGUGUGGCCACCAGCUGCAUUAAGUACUGCAGUGCAUCUCCUCAUGGACUGCACCAUAUUUGCCAGUUCUUGCUGUGAUAUGUUACCCCACUCUUCCACCAAGGCACCUGCAAGUUCCCGGACAUUUCUGGGGAGAAUGGCCCUAGUCCUCAUCCUCCGAUCCAACUGGUCCCAGACCUGCUCAAUGGGAUUGACAUCCAGGCUCUUCGCUGACCAUGGCAGAACACUGACAUUCCUGUCUUGCAGGAAAUCACGCACAGAACGAGCAGUAUGGCUGGUGGCAUUGUCAUGCUGGAGAGCCAUGUCAGGAUGAGCCUGCAGGAAGGGUACCACAUGAGGGAGGAGGAUUUCUUCCCUGUAACGCAGUGUUGAGCUUGCCUGCAAUGAAAACAAUGUAAUUCCGAUGAUCCUGUAACACACCGUCCCAGACCAUGACGGACCCUCCACCUCCAAAUCGAUCCUGCUCCAGAGUACAGGCCUCGGUGUAACGCUCAUUCCUUCGACGAUAAACGCGAAUCCGACCAUCACCCCUGUUGAGACAAAUCCACGACUCAUCAGUGAAGAGUACUUUUUGCCAGUCCUGUCUGGUCCAGCAACGGUGGGUUUGUGCCCAUAGGCGAAGUUGUUGCCGGUGAUGUCUGGUGAGGACCUGCCUUACAACAGGCCUACAAGCCCUCAGUCCAGCCUCUCUCAGCCUAUUGGGAACAGUCUGAGCACUGAUGGACAGAUUGUGCGUUCCUAGUGUAACUCGGGCAGUUGUUGUUGCCAUUCUGUACCUGUCCCGCAGGUGUGAUGUUCGGAUGCACCAAUCCUGUGCAGGUGUUGUUACAAGUGGUCUGCCACUGCGAGGACGAUCAGCUGUCUGUCCUGUCUCACUGUAGCGCUGUCUUAGGCGUCUCACAGUACUGACAUUGCAAUUUAUUGCCCUGGCCACAUCUGCUGUCCUCAUGCCUCCUUGCAGCAUGCCUAAGGCACGUUCACGCAGAUGAGCAGGGACCCUGGGCAUCUUCCUUUUGGUGUUUUUCAGAAUCAGUAGAAAGGCCUCUUUAGUGUCUUAAGUUUUCAUAACUGUGACCUUAAUUGCCUACCGUCUGUAAGCUGUUAGUGUCUUAAUGACCGUUCCACAGGUGCAUGUUCAUUAAUUGUUUAUGGUUCAUUGAACAAGCAUGGGAAACAGUGUAUAAACCCUUUGGCUUUUUACCAAUUCUCUUUGAAAGACAGGGUCCUGAAGAGUUUAGUAACAAGCCUACUUGUUUGUUUUUGUUUUGUCUGUUACUGUUCAUCCUGAAAUCUGGAUGAAAAUACAAUGUUAUGAGAAAGAAAUGGAUUUAAUAUCCCCCCCUUGUAUUUCUGUUUAUUGUGUAAAUAUAUACUAAAUAUGCAUAUAUACUGUAUAUAUUUGUGCACAUACAUGUACAUGUGAGUGCUAUGACAAACUGCCGUGGACUCCACUGAAAAUGCAAAAGACAAGAUGGUAGUGUUUUACAUUUCUCAUGUCUGUGUGUAGUUGGUGUGUGUAAGAGCUAAUCAUUUGAUGGUUUGUGUGUAGAGUUUGAUGUUAAAACACAAUUUGAGGAGUUAAAAUAGUUUUGAAUUAAGUGUUUGGUUUUGCAAGAGAUGUGUGUUGUUUUGCUUAUGUGUUUUGGCAUUUUGUGUAGUCUAGAGAAAAGGAGCCAUAGUUUCAGAAAUCAUGCACAAGCAAUUGUCAAACUGUAAUGCUCUGUCAUGUGUAUAGGCUACUGUAUUUACAAAACAGUGUACGUUUCCGUGUGUGAUUGGUAAAAUAACUCUAAAAUGG